GUGUCCAUUUCUCCUGAUCUUUGGCUUUCUGGAAAGCUGAAAGAAUGCUCUUGAAUUUGAUGACGGGAUUUACUUCAGGCCGCUCCUUACUUGAGCUUAAAUCUCCUUCUAAAGUCGGAUACUCGCAGAUGGACAGGCUGAGAAACCUCUGAGUUGUAAAAUUCAUAACGUCUUGCUCCGUGAAUAUUUUGGCCCAAUUCCAAUUGGCCUGGACUCCUUCUUGAGUGUAGAAUCCAUAAAAAUUAGCCUCGUGAUUUAAACCCUCCUGGUUUGUA
rnacentral:lncRNA from 1 species